rnacentral:rRNA from 1 species
AUUGAACGCUGGCGGCAGGCUUAACACAUGCAAGUCGAACGAUGACUCUCUAGCUUGCUAGGGAUGAUUAGUGGCGGACGGGUGAGUAACAUUUAGGAAUCUACCUAGUAGUGGGGGAUAGCUCGGGGAAACUCGAAUUAAUACCGCAUACGACCUACGGGUGAAAGGGGGCGCAAGCUCUUGCUAUUAGAUGAGCCUAAAUCAGAUUAGCUAGUUGGUGGGGUAAGGGCCCACCAAGGCGACGAUCUGUAACUGGUCUGAGAGGAUGAUCAGUCACACCGGAACUGAGACACGGUCCGGACUCCUACGGGAGGCAGCAGUGGGGAAUAUUGGACAAUGGGGGCAACCCUGAUCCAGCCAUGCCGCGUGUGUGAAGAAGGCCUUUUGGUUGUAAAGCACUUUAAGCAGGGAGGAGAGGCUAAUGGUUAAUACCCAUUAGAUUAGACGUUACCUGCAGAAUAAGCACCGGCUAACUCUGUG